GGCAGCAGUGGGGAAUAUUGCACAAUGGGCGAAAGCCUGAUGCAGCGACGCCGCGUGAGGGACGAAGGCCUUCGGGUUGCAAACCUCUUUCAGCAGGGAAGAAGCGAAAGUGACGGUACCUGCAGAAGAAGCACCGGCUAACUACGUGCCAGCAGCCGCGGUAAUACGUAGGGUGCAAGCGUUGUCCGGAAUUAUUGGGCGUAAAGAGCUCGUAGGCGGUUUGUCGCGUCUGCUGUGAAAUACCGCAGCUUAACCCUGAGCCUGCAGUGGGUACGGGCAGACUAGAGUGUGGUAGGGGAGAUCGGAAUUCCUGGUGUAGCGGUGGAAUGCGCAGAUAUCAGGAGGAACACCGGUGGCGAAGGCAGAUCUCUGGGCCAUAACUGACGCUGAGGAGCGAAAGCAUGGGGAGCGAACAGGAUUAGAUACCCUGGUAGUCCAUGCCGUAAACGUUGGGCGCUAGGUGUGGGGCUCAUUCCACGAGUUCCGUGCCGCAGCUAACGCAUUAAGCGCCCCGCCUGGGGAGUACGGCCGCAAGGCUAAAACUCAAAGGAAUUGACGGA
rnacentral:rRNA from 1 species